AUUGAACGCUGGCGGCAGGCCUAACACAUGCAAGUCGAACGGUAGCACAGAGAGCUUGCUCUCGGGUGACGAGUGGCGGACGGGUGAGUAAUGUCUGGGAGACUGCCCGAUGGAGGGGGAUAACUACUGGAAACGGUAGCUAAUACCGCAUAACGUCGCAAGACCAAAGUGGGGGACCUUCGGGCCUCACACCAUCGGAUGCGCCCAGAUGGGAUUAGCUAGUAGGUGGGUAAUGGCUCACCUAGGCGACGAUCCCUAGCUGGUCUGAGAGGAUGACCAGCCACACUGGAACUGAGACACGGUCCAGACUCCUACGGGAGGCAGCAGUGGGGAAUAUUGCACAAUGGGCGCAAGCCUGAUGCAGCCAUGCCGCGUGUAUGAAGAAGGCCUUCGGGUUGUAAAGUACUUUCAGCGGGGAGGAAGGCGGUGGAGUUAAUAACUUCACCGAUUGACGUUACCCGCAGAAGAAGCACCGGCUAACUCCGUGCCAGCAGCCGCGGUAA
rnacentral:rRNA from 1 species